GCACAAUGGGCGCAAGCCUGAUGCAGCCAUGCCGCGUGUGUGAAGAAGGCCUUCGGGUUGUAAAGCACUUUCAGUCGUGAGGAAGGUGGUAGUGUUAAUAGCACUAUCAUUUGACGUUAGCGACAGAAGAAGCACCGGCUAACUCCGUGCCAGCAGCCGCGGUAAUACGGAGGGUGCGAGCGUUAAUCGGAAUUACUGGGCGUAAAGCGCAUGCAGGUGGUUUGUUAAGUCAGAUGUGAAAGCCCGGGGCUCAACCUCGGAAUAGCAUUUGAAACUGGCAGACUAGAGUACUGUAGAGGGGGUAGAAUUUCAGGUGUAGCGGUGAAAUGCGUAGAGAUCUGAAGGAAUACCGGUGGCGAAGGCGGCCCCCUGGACAGAUACUGACACUCAGAUGCGAAAGCGUGGGGAGCAAACAGGAUUAGAUACCCUGGUAG
rnacentral:rRNA from 1 species